UAAAAAAAGUAUUUGAUCUUCUUUAGAUUUCACUGUUCUUUUUCUCUGGGGAAAGAGGAAGAAGACUCCGUCGUCACCUCUCUGCACUUCUUUCUCCGAUCAAGCUUUGUUUGGCCAAGAAGAAGACGAAGCUCUGCUCGAAUCGUCUCCUCUCUGUGCCUAUUUGUCUCUGGAAAAGAAGAAGAACUCAGUUCCUCCAUGACCUCCCUGUCGAUUUUCUGUUCCUCCACGACCUCCCCCCGUGUACAUGCUCAGCAACCCGUCGAAGGAGUUAUUGCUGGUUGUCGGAGCCUCCACCAGCAAGAACCUCGGCCUCUUCCGCUUCAACGAAGACGACGUCCAAGCCUUGCUCCUCUAGGUUUUCAUGGUCGACCCUCGCCUGCGUGACGGCUCCAAAGUUGUUCCUGUUGCGCUCAACAAGAUCCUCCAAUAGGCACUUAAGAUCUCCAUUACUUAUGCAGUCAGCCAGUAGAAUUCAUCGAGAGUCGCAGCUGCGUUUCCCUCCGAUGCAUGUAAGCGAUUGGAUUUGUCUGCCACAAGGGAAAAAGUGCAUUCUGUUGAGAGUAAUUUUCAGAAACGAGAAGAGAAAAAUGUAGAAUCACUUGUGAAGCUACUAGUUGAUUGUAUCUUGGAAGCCAAAGAAAAUAUUGAUCGAAACUUUGCUGCUUCUCUUCGGAAUGAAAACAUGGAAAGAUAUUAUGACAUAUGACAUUUAUGUUCAAAUGGUCGAGAUUUACAAUGAACAUGUUAGAGACCUACUUACCGAGGACAAAAUAGAUAAUAAAUUAGAGAUUAGGAGCUGCAAUGAUGAUGGAUUGAGUCUUCCUUAUGCUACAUUGUGUCCGGUAGGUGACAUCUACAGCUGAUGUUCUGACCCUUAUGAAACUCAGUGAGGUCAACCGUGCUGUCAGUUUCGCUGCAUUGAACAAUAGGAGUAGUCCUUCCCACAGUGUACUCCCCAUGCAUGUUCACGGAAAAGAUACAUGAAAUUCAUGGAUCCAGGCCGAAUCGCAGAUCUUCGCUAGGAGGGAAGCCGGUACCAUGUAAGUUAAAACCUUUAGAGCUGCCAAUUUUCUAUUAAUAUGUUUUGCAAUUUUAUCAUACUAAGAACAAGGUUAUGUUUAGAUGAGAGAGAGAGAGAAAUGCUAGAACACCUCCUCAAAGCAACCCCAACAGCUCCAAGCCUGCAAUUUAAUAUUCUUUCUUUUUGUUUUCUUUUUUUCUUCUGUGUUUCUUAUAGAAUCAUGGUGGUUUGACAAACAACUUUAUUUAAUUGACGAUAUAUGCUAAAAUUUGUUCUAAGGUAGUCUAUUUAUUGUAUUGCCAUUCUUAUGCUUUCUGUGCAUCUAUGUAUGAGCUGCUAUGAACCUAUGCACUUUUGUGCAUUUAAUGAUUAAUUUCUGGAUCAGUUUUCUUAUGACCUGUAGAUUAACUUCAUCCCUUAAUUUUGUGAUGAAAGAUUUCUUAUGAACCUGAACUUGUGGAAUCAUUAUCCACCUUUUUAAGGUAUCCUUGUUCCACCUUCGGAGUUUUCAGCAAGAAAUAGACUAUUAGGCAGAUGAGUCCAAAGACCAACAUGGCCAGUGAUAGAGAAAGACACAUGAAAAAUGGAUAAAAUUUUGUGAACUUGGUCAGGUGUUUAUGUUUGUGUGAAGAAUCGAUGUUGUUAAUGUAACUAGGGAGGCUCAAGAGGGGGUCACCCAAAUAUGAACUUUUUGUCAAAGGUCACAAAUCCAUUCUGUGGAACUAGACCAGAUAUGAAGGGGUUGUAUGAGAUGUUGAAUGUGAUAAGCUCAACCAAGUUGAACAAACUUGAAGGAAUCGACCCUGAGAAAUUGUUCCAAGACAAAUCAAGAUCCUGAAGAGACUUCAUGUUGCUAAUUUUGCCUGGAAUUUCACCUGAGAAAUUGUUUCUAGAGAUGUUCAAGACUAUACGUGCCAUGUUUGAAAUCACUGAUGGGAACUUCCCAAAGAACUUGUUAUCCCCCAAUUGCAACAUGCUGAAGUUCACCAUGUUACCAAUUUCUGUAGGUACUUCACCACCGAGCUAGUUCCACUUAAUUGAAUAUAACCAUCUAUCUAUGAUGAUUUAGAGGAAUUUGUACCAAAGGCUUCUACAAUUCUUCCUUGUGAGGACAGUAUACACAAACUUGUAUGGAAGAUAAUCAGCAGGUAACCAUCUCCUCAUUGCUGAGCAUCCACUAUUUCCAGAAAUGAUUUUGCCAAUAGUUUUCUUCUAUUCAAUUCAAAUAUGGCCAUUGCAUUUCUUCCAAUUCUAGCCAAUUCUGAGGGCAAGCUUCCAAAGAACUUCUUGUUUGUAAGAUUCAACCAUAACAAGCUAGACCAAUUUUCCAACUCUGGUGGGAUUUCACCGGUUAACAAAUUAUUCGAAAGCAUUAGCUAUAGCAAUGAACUCAUUUUCCAAGCGUUGGAGGGAUUGAGCCAUUGAAAUUGUUGAAGGCAAGAUCAAGUGCUUGAAGGUUGGUCAAAUUUCCAAGUUCAGCUGGAAUUGGUCCACUGAACUUGUUGUAGGUUAAGGUUAAGAAAGUGAGACAUGACAAUUUGAGAGAUUUUAGGAGGUAAUGGACUUGAAAAGUUGUUGAAGCUUAGAUCUAAUCGGCAAAGAUUUGUCAAUGAGAAAAUUCCUGAUGUGAGCAGUCCUCCAGUGUAGGAAUUUGAUUGAAGGAGAAGAAACUUGCUUGAAUUUUCCAAAAAUCACUUGAUCUUUGAUAUUGUAAAAGUAAAACAACUUAGUAUCCUUAUUAAUGUUAUUAAUGAUAAAUACCAAAAUGGGUCUUUAAA